UGGGGAAUAUUGCACAAUGGGCGCAAGCCUGAUGCAGCCAUGCCGCGUGUGUGAAGAAGGCCUUCGGGUUGUAAAGCACUUUCAGCGAGGAGGAAGGCGUUAAGGUUAAUAACCUUAGCGAUUGACGUUACUCGCAGAAGAAGCACCGGCUAACUCCGUGCCAGCAGCCGCGGUAAUACGGAGGGUGCAAGCGUUAAUCGGAAUUACUGGGCGUAAAGCGCACGCAGGCGGUUUGUUAAGUCAGAUGUGAAAUCCCCGAGCUUAACUUGGGAACUGCAUUUGAAACUGGCAAGCUAGAGUCUUGUAGAGGGGGGUAGAAUUCCAGGUGUAGCGGUGAAAUGCGUAGAGAUCUGGAGGAAUACCGGUGGCGAAGGCGGCCCCCUGGACAAAGACUGACGCUCAGGUGCGAAAGCGUGG
rnacentral:rRNA from 1 species